AACGAACGCUGGCGGCAGGCUUAACACAUGCAAGUCGAACGCCCCGCAAGGGUAGUGGCGCCCGGGUGAGUAACGCGUGGAUAUCUGCCUUUUGGUUCGGAAUAACCCCGGGAAACUGGGGCUAAUACCGGAUGGUUCCUACGGGAUAAAGAUUUAUCGCCAAAAGAUGAGUCCGCGUACGAUUAGCUAGUUGGUGAGGUAAUGGCUCACCAAGGCGACGAUCGUUAGCUGGUCUGAGAGGACGAUCAGCCACACUGGGACUGAGACACGGCCCAGACUCCUACGGGAGGGAGCAGUGGGGAAUAUUGGACAAUGGGGGCAACCCUGAUCCAGCCAUGCCGGGUGAGUGAUGAAGGCCUUCGGGUUGUAAAGCUCUUUUGGCGGGGACGAUGAUGACGGUACCCGCAGAAUAAGCCCCGGCUAACUUCGUG
rnacentral:rRNA from 1 species